CCUAUAAGGGAUCUGUAAUACUAAAGCUGCUUGCAUGCAUUACUAAUACAAAACAAAAAAUGUGAUCAAGCCACUUACCUACUGAACUGCUACUGUUGCCUGAAAAAAAUGUGAUUUUUAUUCUGCUUGUAUUUAAAAUUUAUGAAGGAAAUAAUCGCAUUCGUUAUACUGUAAACGACUAGGUCUGUGGCGACCUACUUAAAAAAAAAUAUUGGGCUCCUUUUUUGAUAUUCCUGAGGUUAGUCUAUAAGAUUGUAGCUUUUUCUUUUUUUUUUCUUUUUUUUUUUUUAUUUUAAGAAGGGGAGGAGAAAAGCUAGCCACCCCCCCCCAACCACCACCACCCCCUGUCAUCACCACCCCAUCCAUUACUCAGCUCAGAAGUAAAGCCAUCGUUAACCUUGUCCUCUAAAGAAAGUUUUACCGUCACUUAACAGGAAAGCAAGGUGUGUUAGGGUACAGGUGCUGUGACUGGCGAUGUUUGUCUCUAGCAGAAGGGCUCUAGCCAAGUGGGACAGGGUGGGGGAAAUCGUUAAAGGCUUCUGGUGUUGGAGGGAGCCCCUUGCCGUGGGCGCUGCGGGGCAGGGUGCUGCGGGGNUCAUCACCACCCCAUCCAUUACUCAGCUCAGAAGUAAAGCCAUCGUUAACCUUGUCCUCUAAAGAAAGUUUUACCGUCACUUAACAGGAAAGCAAGGUGUGUUAGGGUACAGGUGCUGUGACUGGCGAUGUUUGUCUCUAGCAGAAGGGCUCUAGCCAAGUGGGACAGGGUGGGGGAAAUCGUUAAAGGCUUCUGGUGUUGGAGGGAGCCCCUUGCCGUGGGCGCUGCGGGGCAGGGUGCUGCGGGGCAGGGUGCUGUGGCGCCCAGCCGCUGCCGGAGGCUGGUGGGGACUCGGAGCCGUUGUCUCGGGGAGUUUUAUCCCGUUCCCGGGAGCAGGGAUGGUUCCGCGGGAGUUCAGGCUUGCAUGUGUCGGGAGGACUGUGUGGGAUGCAGGUGGAGACCCUGGCCGGUGUUGUGGUUGUUGUUGUUGGUUUUUUUUCCCAAUACGGCUGGGUUUUGGGUUUGGUUUCUCUGUCCCUUCCUCCCAGCAACUCCUUUUCGUUUGCUUCUCCUUGCUUGCACCUUCACGCCACCCGCUUCUUGGGCGAAUGGACUUGCGUCACCCCACCGCACCUGGGCACGCAGGCAGGCGGGCCAAGUCCCAGGGCCACCUUCUGGGGGGGCACAUAGCCCCCCUCAGCCACCUGCGAAGGGCUUCGGAGAGGAAUCUGAGCACGGAAAACACGUUGUUCUUCCUCCCAAGGGCACGGAGCCGGGAGCUCUUGGCGUUGGCUCCCGGCAGCAUCCGCACCGNNNNNNNNNNNNNNNNNNNNNNNNNNNNNNNNNNNNNGCCGGCGUGCGGGGCUUGCCUGCUGCCCCCUCCCCUCCUCCCCAGGCAGCCAUGCUCUCACUUUAAUAAUUUGGAGUAUAUUGGAUGCAAAAAAGUUUAAAAAAAAAAAAAAAUUAGCUUUGUGCCCUUCUGUGAAGAGGUUUUGGGGAGGAGGAAGCGUUUCGCUUCUUGCUCAUCCUCCAGACAGGCCCUUCUGGGGAAAAGCCCAAUGUUGAGUUAUUUGUCUUAUUUUUUUUGUUGUUGAAAGCUGAUGUCCCCAGGCUCUGUUGGCUUUGGUGGCCCCAGCUGGCCUCGGCUUGAUGAUGCGGGCGCUGGGGUGGGACCUGCGGGUGCCCCUGGAGCCUGGCCAGGCAGUGGGUACCAGCUCACCCCCGGCUCGCUGCGUCGACUCUGCCCAUUUGCCCUUAGAAAUCCCCCAGAAUGACCGGAAUCCUUUCGCAGAGCUGGCUCCCACACGGCGCUGGGCGCAGGUCUGUCUCGCUGCAGCGUUGUCCUGGGUCGGGGGGUGCCGGGCACCCACAAGGAUGCUGAGGUCGAAGUGUCCCCAAGGGCUGGGGGCAGUGAUGUGAAAGCCAAGUAUGGCUUUUUUUCUUUUUAAUUAUUAUUUUUACUGUGACUAAACGGCCUGCUUUAAUGAUAUUUUCAGCUUGUUCUUUAACAAGUUUGGGACUAUGAACGAGUGCACCGAGAGUCACUUUUGAAGGCUGUUGUGGCUGUGCUCUUCUUUUCUUUCCUGCUUUGGUUCCUGAAUCCAGACAGCGCUUUGCUCAGGGUUUUCUUCCUUCUUUGUAUUUCCAAGGGGGAAGGGGGAGAGGAUAACCCAGCUUUUGGCUACUUGUUUUGUUUUCUUUGAUACUUGAAGCAGUUUUUUUGCAUCCUAAUAACAAAGCUGUCCGGCGCUUCGCCUGUUCCACUGCUCCUUGCCCUGCAGGAAAAAAAAAAAAAAAAAAUCAAUGCCAGGGUCUUGCACAGGUCUCAGUUUUUAGCACAGCUUGACUUGGGCGGACCACGAUGCUCCAGACCGGGUGCUCUGCUGCCGGUGGUGUGGGGGGCUGGUGGGGGUGGCAGCACGAUGAGCCGGUGCAGAGGCGCGUGAUGCCUCGGAGGAGCGGGGACAAGCACGGCCGGGGGUUCUAUUUGCACUUUACCCACGUCAGCAAGCAAAGCUCGCGCUCUUGCCGAAGUGGGGGGCACGCGGGGGCAUGCUGUGCACGGGGGGGGACACGCGACCAGAGGACAGACAUGAGCAGGGGGUGUAUGGGGACCAGCGGGCUGAUCUGGGGGGGGGCUUCUUCCCCAGAGAGCCCCCAGGAGAUGGAGGGAGCCAGUUCCUCGGCCCUGGGGGUGCCCCUGUCCCUGCAGGAGUGGCUGCUGGGGGGCCAGCUCUUGGGCAGCUCAGCUGGCUUGGUGGGGAUCGGGGGGGUCGGGUUUGGCUGAAGACCCUCCUGAUCCCCCAUCGCCUCCCCAGAAGUUUGGGUUUGCCAAAAGUUUGAGGCAAGCUGGGAGCGGAUCCGGGUGUCGGAGAUCAAGUCGUCCCUUCCGUGUGUGUCUGUGUGCGUGUGUAUAUAUAUACAUAUAUAUAUAUAAAAAAGAGAUUGCAAAGGAUUCCUCCUCCUUUUUGGCACUCGCUGGGGUUUGGUGAGCAGGCCAAGGGGUUCACAGUUGGCUGUAGGUAUUAAUUCUGGACCAAACCCGUGCCCAGACAGACGGCCCUGGCCGGGGGGGCCACCGCGGGGGGGGGGCAGCAGCAGAAGUACUUGAAUGGCUUAGGACAGAGAGUCUGAAGAGAGUCAAGUUGCACAGUGAAAAUAUAUAUUUUUAUACCUAGCACAACUUCCUGUAUAUUUUUGGGGUUUUUUCUUUCUUUUUUUUUUCUUUCCUUUUUUUUUUUUUGAUUUGGGUUUGUUUGUUUUAUUAAUUAUUAUUAUUAGGAAGGCAAACUUCUAAAAUGUGAAGGGCGUUGGGUUUUUCCUUAUCUGGUAGAUGAGGGCAAGCAUUUUGCACUAAUGUUUCCUGUGUGUGGAGGAUUAAUGAUAUGUUUGAAAAUGUUAUAUGGUAAUGAUUGUAUUCUUCCGAAAAAAAAAAAAAAAAAAACCAAACAAAAAAAGUAACCCCUUUAAAAUACUGAAUGUAAGGUGAGAACAGAGCAGUCCAUCGAUUGUAUGCGGCUUUCCUGAGUGCCUUAGAAUUUUUUGAUCAUUUUUUCCAAGGAAAACAGAUUAAGAAGAUCAGAUCAUAACCGACUCCUUCCUCCUCUUUGUUUACGACACUAUUUUAAAUUAUAGAAUUUGGGGCUGCUUUAUAAUGUGAAUAGGAAACUGCAUUCAUCUAGGUCUGAUAGUGUAAAAUCAAAGCAUCAGUAUUUAUGGUAUGUCUGCACCUUUAUUCUUAUGCUUGACUAUUAGCAAUAUUACAUGUAUAUUAUAUAUCUAAAGUUAUACCAAGCACCUUUAAAGAAAACGGAGUGUAAGCAUACAAGUUACCUGCAGCUGCCAUAUAGUGUAGAAGCCAGCCCCUCUCCUCAUUAGCGCCAAUUAACACCACCACCCCGAGAGCUGCGCUUUGCAGAAGGGUGCAUGACCUUCUGCCACACCCCGGGCCUGCGUCUCGGUGUCCNUGGUGGCGGUGAUGCCAGCGCAGGUGGGAGCUGCCCGCGGCGGGGGCUCGGGAGGAGGGGUGGCAGAAGAUGGGGGAGUGGGUCCUUUUUGCCACCUUGAUGGUUUAAUUCUUCUAACUGUGGUUUCACCGUAGAAAUUCCCCCGGGGGGACCGGGGGGGAUGUGGGGCUGGUGGCGGGGAGCCUGGCCAUGGGUGACACGCCCCGGGGCUCCCUUCCUCCGGCCGGGUGAGGGGCUCAACCCAACCUGGCCCCCCAAAACUGGAAUUACCCACGGCUUAACCGGCGUUUGAGGGAGCAGAGCACCCGAGCCGUGGUGUUACGCAGGGGGCCGCCGCCUCCCCUCAGCCCUUUGCCACCGGGGUUUUGCUCAAAUCGCUUGUUUUUCUGGAAAUAGCUCGCUGCGAGUGGAGAAGGGCCAACAGGAAACCGGGACGAGCCCCGGCAGUUACUCCCCACCACCACAUUGCCAGUCCGCAGCCAUCUCGGCCUUCAUCUGCUGUUCAAAGUGUUCUGCUGUCUGAAUCGGUCGUGCUGUGAGCAAGCGAGCCCCGAGCGCGCGGGGUNNNNNNNNNNNNNNNNNNNGCGGGGGGGAAGCGAGCGGGGAGCUCCCCGGCCCCGCUCGCUCGGGGGGCUGACGUCUAACGCACUCACAUUGGAAACCCCUCAACUCCUCCGAUGAGUUUCUUCCACUGUUAAAGCGUUUUGCACACAAAAUUGUGAUUUUUAUGUCAAGGUAAAAGCCAAAACUUGCAAUACUAUUUUUAGCAGACGGGAAAAAAAAAAAAAAAAAGAAUAAAUAAAUAAAUAAAAAACAACUGAGUAUAAAUGUAUAAAUAUUUUUGACUUGAACAUUUGGAUGGCACUUGAUUCAAAUAGAACAUUAAUCCUUUGGACAGAAUGUUUGGGAAAAAAAGGACUUAAAGUACAAGGUUGUUUUUAAAGCGUCUUCAUAGGGUAUUAAGUAGUACUGUAAUUCAUGACUGUUAAAAAUACUUUCUGUGCUGUAAGGAAAUCUCACAGUACCACUGAAUUAUGUUCCUCAACUGUCUCAGCCACGAACGAUGCUAGCUUCUUUUUUUUUUUUUUUUUUUUAUUGUGCAUUAUUCACUAGUAUUUAUGUGCUCUUACUCUGUAUAGUUAAGACUGUUAUUUUGUAGCCAUGGCUGACACGAUAUAUCAGUAACUAAAAAAAAAGAGAAAAGAUUAAGACCCCCGAGUUGGAACUGUGCUCAUAGCUGUUUUCAUAUGAUGAAAAAUCCAUUUAAAAAAAAACCCCAAUGUGAUCAUUAAUUGUAAAACGCUUUGUAAAAUUCACAUUUACAAAAUAAUAAAGUAAAUUACAAUUAAACGCUUUUCUUUCCUCUGUUUUCUUUCUUCUGGGUCGUGGAUGCUG
rnacentral:lncRNA from 1 species